GACGAACCGUGCGAACGUUGUUCGGAUUCACUGGGCUUAAAGGGCGCGUAGGCGGACAAUCAAGUCAGUGGUGAAAGCCCGGAGCUCAACUCCGGAAAUGCCAUUGAAACUGUGAAACUUGAGGAUGAGAGAGGUGAGUGGAAUUCCCAGUGUAGAGGUGAAAUUCGUAGAUAUUGGGAAGAACACCGGUGGCGAAGGCGGCUCACUGGCUCAUUACUGACGCUCAGGCGCGACAGCGUGGGGAUCAAACAGG
rnacentral:rRNA from 1 species